rnacentral:rRNA from 1 species
AUAUUGCACAAUGGGCGCAAGCGUGAUGCAGCGACGCCGCGUGGGGGAUGAAGGCCUUCGGGUUGGAAACUCCUUUCGCUAGGGACGAAGCCCUUUUUAAGGUGACGGUACCUGGAUAAGAAGCACCGGCUAACUACGUGCCAGCAGCGGCGGGAAUACGUAGGGUGCAAGCGUUGUCCGGAAUUACUGGGCGUAAAGAGCUCGUAGGUGGUUUGUAGCGUCGUCUGUGAAAUUCCGGGGCUUAACUCCGGGCGUGCAGGCGAUACGGGCAUAACUUGAGUGCUGUAGGGGAGACUGGAAUUCCUGGUGUAGCGGUGAAAUGCGCAGAUAUCAGGAGGAACACCGAUGGCGAAGGCAGGUCUCUGGGCAGUAACUGACGCUGAGGAGCGAAAGCAUGGGUAGCAAAC